UAGAGUUUGAUCCUGGCUCAGGAUGAACGUUGGCGGCGUGCCUAACACAUGCAAGUCGAACGGAAAUAGCAAUAUUUGAGUGGCGCACGGGUGAGUAACACGUAGCUAAUCUACCUCAAAGCGCGGGAUAACGUGUCGAAAGACAGGCUAAUACCGCAUAAGCUCACGGUCUGCAGAGGGUUGUGAGAAAAGGCUUAGGUCACUUUGAGAUGAGGCUGCGGCCCAUCAGCUAGUUGGUGAGGUAAAGGCUUACCAAGGCAACGACGGGUAGGGGACCUGAGAGGGUGACCCCCCACACUGGGACUGAGACACGGCCCAGACUCCUACGGGAGGCAGCAGUGAGGAAUAUUGCACAAUGGGCGAAAGCCUGAUGCAGCGACGCCGCGUGGGUGAAGAAGGUUUUCGGAUCGUAAAACCCUUUUCUGUGUGACGAGAGAGGACGGUAGCACAGGAAUAAGUCUCGGCUAACUACGUGCCAGCAGCCCCGGUCAA
rnacentral:rRNA from 1 species